UACGGAGGAUGCAAGCGUUAUCCGGAAUGAUUGGGCGUAAAGCGUCCGCAGGUGGCUAUGUAAGUCUGCUGUUAAAGAGUGAGGCUCAACCUCAUAAAAGCAGUGGAAACUACACAGCUAGAGUGCGUUCGGGGCAGAGGGAAUUCCUGGUGUAGCGGUGAAAUGCGUAGAGAUCAGGAAGAACACCGGUGGCGAAGGCGCUCUGCUAGGCCGCAACUGACACUGAGGGACGAAAGCUAGGGGAGCGAAUGGG
rnacentral:rRNA from 1 species